rnacentral:rRNA from 1 species
UAGGAGGGUGCAAGCGUUCUCCGGAUUCACUGGGUUUAAAGGGUGCGUAGGAGGGCAGGUAAGUCAGUGGUGAAAUCUCCGAGCUUAACUUGGAAACUGCCGUUGAUACUAUCUGUCUUGAAUAUUGUGGAGGUGAGCGGAAUAUGUCAUGUAGCGGUGAAAUGCUUAGAUAUGACAUAGAACACCAAUUGCGAAGGCAGCUCGCUACACAUAUAUUGACUCUGAGGCACGAAAGCGUGGGGAUCAAACAGG